UCUCCAGUAGCUCAGAUGGUAAAGAAUCUGCCUGCAACGCAGGAGACCCAGGUUCGAUCCCUGGGUGGGGAA
rnacentral:tRNA from 1 species